rnacentral:lncRNA from 1 species
GCCCCAAAGAGGCUGCAGCAGCUGGACUCCUGCUAGAUUUUGAUCUCACUCCAAAGGCCCAGCCCUUCCGGGCAGGGGCAGCCUCAGCCUUAUAGGAACCUGAGCCUGGGCUGGGAGGCAGGAGAUCUGGGUUGCUGGCCUGGCCCUGCGGCUCCCUUCUGUGGGGCUGGGGCCCGUCGUGGGGCUCCUCGCAAGGCUGACGGGAGAGGGACCGCCAUAAGAAGCAGAAAAGUGCCUGUGAGGGCUUGACAGAUGACGGAAGAUUCCUCCUCCAGCUGUCAAGAACUCCAGCCCGCAGUUUGCCUCCAACUCCAUCAUGCGGGACCGCUCCUCUGCAUCCUGGCUUCAAACGGCUGUUUGAUCAGCUUUUCAUCCAUUUUCCAAAAGUGUGGCAAUUUAGGGAUGUUCUGAAUCUUGCACUCUGACGAUAUACCAGUGUGGCCCCAAAGCUGACAUCGGAGUGUCAGAGCAGUGGAAUCUUGGCACGUGGCCUCUCAAAUCUGGAUUCCUUCACGUGGCAUAAUGCGAUUGCGUUCACCCACGCUGUUUGCGGGAUUCCCUCGUGUCGUCCGUGAUUCUGCCGACUGCUGGGUGCGCUCCACUGUGUGGACGACCACAGUUUGUUCGUCCCUUCGCCAGGUGAAGGAUGUGGGCUGUUCCCAGAUUUUGGUGGUUAUGAAUAAAGCCAUGUAAACAUU